GUAAAUGAUUCAUUGUUAAAGGUAAACCAUAAAACUCAGUAUUAAAAUUCCAGAAACCAUCCAUGGAUCCAAAGGAGACAACUUGCUUUUGCCAAGCACAAGCAUGUUAUAUCAGGAAUCUUAAGUGAACUUGAAAGAAUAUGAUUUGGGAAGGCUUCUUGAUGAUGAAAGUCAGCCUGAUGAACAUGUCACUCCAAAUUUUCAGGUGCGUCUAAGAAUGUUUGUUCAAACCAAGAAGAAAGAUGAUGCAUUUUGAUAAACACCCAAGGCACGAUGUUGACAAGUCUUUAUUUCUCGCUAGAACUUUUGUUUGGAAAA